AUACGUAGGUGGCAAGCGUUGUCCGGAAUUAUUGGGCGUAAAGCGCGCGCAGGUGGUUCCUUAAGUCUGAUGUGAAAGCCCCCGGCUCAACCGGGGAGGGUCAUUGGAAACUGGGGAACUUGAGUGCAGAAGAGGAUAGUGGAAUUCCAAGUGUAGCGGUGAAAUGCGUAGGGAUUUGGAGGAACACCAGUGGCGAAGGCGACGUGAUGGUCGGUAACAGACACUGAGGGGCGAACGCGUGGGGGGCAAACAGAAAUAAGUACCCUGGUAGGCCACGCCGUAAACGAUGAGUGCUAAGUGUUGGGGGGUUUCCGCCCCGCUGUGCUUCAGCUAACGCAUUAAGCAAUCCGCCUGGGGAGUACGGUCGCAAGACUGAAACUCAAAUGAAUUUACGGGG
rnacentral:rRNA from 1 species